CCUUUGACGUUAGCGGCGGACGGGUGAGUAACACGUGGGUAACCUACCUAUAAGACUGGGAUAACUUCGGGAAACCGGAGCUAAUACCGGAUAAUAUUUCGAACCGCAUGGUUCGAUAGUGAAAGGNGGUUUUGCUAUCACUUAUAGAUGGACCCGCGCCGUAUUAGCUAGUUGGUAAGGUAACGGCUUACCAAGGCGACGAUACGUAGCCGACCUGAGAGGGUGAUCGGCCACACUGGAACUGAGACACGGGUCCAGACUCCUACGGGAGGCAGCAGCC
rnacentral:rRNA from 1 species